ACAGCAGUAGCCGCGGGAAUACCGAGGGUGCGAGCGUUAAUCGGAUUUACUGGGCGUAAAGCGUGCGUAGGCGGCUUCUUAAGUCGGAUGUGAAAUCCCUGAGCUUAACUUAGGAAUUGCAUUCGAUACUGGGAAGCUAGAGUAUGGGAGAGGAUGGUAGAAUUCCAGGUGUAGCGGUGAAAUGCGUAGAGAUCUGGAGGAAUACCGAUGGCGAAGGCAGCCAUCUGGCCUAAUACUGACGCUGAGGUACGAAAGCAUGGGGAGCAAACAGGAUUAGAUACCUCCAGUAGUCCCUGUCUCUUAUA
rnacentral:rRNA from 1 species